rnacentral:rRNA from 1 species
GAACUGAAGAGUUUGAUCAUGGCUCAGAUUGAACGCUGGCGGCAGGCCUAACACAUGCAAGUCGAGCGGAUGAGUGGAGCUUGCUCCAUGAUUCAGCGGCGGACGGGUGAGUAAUGCCUAGGAAUCUGCCUGGUAGUGGGGGACAACGUUUCGAAAGGAACGCUAAUACCGCAUACGUCCUACGGG